UACAGAGGUCUCAAGCGUUGUUCGGAUUCAUUGGGCGUAAAGGGUGCGUAGGUGGCGCCGUAAGUCGGGUGUGAAAUUUCGGAGCUUAACUCCGAAACUGCAUUCGAUACUGCGGUGCUUGAGGACUGGAGAGGAGACUGGAAUUCAUGGUGUAGCAGUGAAAUGCGUAGAGAUCAUGAGGAAGACCAGUGGCGAAGGCGGGUCUCUGGACAGUAACUGACGCUGAGGAGCGAAAGCGUGGGUAGCGAACAGG
rnacentral:rRNA from 1 species